rnacentral:tRNA from 1 species
UCCCUGGUGGUCUAGUGGUUAGGACUCAGCGCUUUCACGUCUGUAGCCUGGGUUCAGUCCCUGGUCUGGGAA